ACCCCUCCCCCCUUUAUCAAAAACAUCUUUUUUUCUUGUAUUCUGAAGAAUGGCCUGCCCGCUGACGUAUAUUUAAGUUGAAGGGCCGCGGUAUUUUGACCGUGCAAAGGUAGCAUAGUCAUUAGUUCUUUAAUUGUGAUCUGGUAUGAAUGGCUUGACGAGACAAGGGCUGUCUUAAGGUGUGGAAUUUGUUGUUGAAUUUUGAGUUUGAGUUAAAAUUCUUAGAUGUUUUUAUGGGACGAGAAGACCCUAUAGAGUUUGACAUUUGAUUACGUAUUUCUUGUUGUUUGUUUUAAAUUUUUGGUGUUUUUUGUUUUGUUGGGGUGAUGGGAGGAAUUUAUUUAACUCCUCUUUUUGUGUAGUAUAUUGAUGUAUAUGUAUAUUGAUCCAUUUAUUUUGAUUGUAAGAUUAAAUUACCUUAGGGAUAACAGCGUUAUCUUCCCUGAGAGUUCUUAUUGGCGGGGGGGUUUGCGACCUCGAUGUUGGAUUAAGGUUAAUUUUUGGUGUAGGAGCUGAAUUGAUUGGGUCUGUUCGACCUUUAAAAUCUUACGUGAUCUGAGUUCAGACCGGAA
rnacentral:rRNA from 1 species